CUGAUCAAGACUAGCUAGCUUAGCUGUGCUGCUUCAAACUGUAUUGAUAAAUGGCUAAAAUGGGUUUAAUUUUAGGUUGUAACAACACCUGUUACAGUGGCACACCCUUUCACCAAACAUAAUAAUUGUCUCAGGAAAUGGAUCAACGCCUUCAAAUGAAAAGGAAGGAUGGGAAACCGCCUCAUGGUACUACAGUUCAAGACUAUUGGAGCACUCUGGAAGCUGCACUGGAGCGUUAACAUUAAUAUACUCAUUUAGCUGAUGUUCUUAUCCAAAGCAACUGCUGCAAUUGUACAAGUAAUGCAAGAUAAGGCUCAUGCCGGCAAUGGCUACUGGCAUUCAUUCUUUGUAUCAUCAAUACCCUUUUGGCUAGCUGUGAUGUGUUCGCUAACCUAGUGUUUGCAGAGACAGAGCAGUAGCCUGUUACCUUUCUUGGUAAGAUGUGUCUGUUUUCGUUUGCGUAGCAGUAAAGCAGCAAUACAAACAGCCAACAGCAGGCCCUGGAGGAUGAUGAGACCGUCCUUCAUCUUGGUCCUGUGCAGUGCCUUUUUGCGGUUUAAGCGUCCUGUAAAUAUGUCUGUUAGCGGUGUGUUAUCAAAAAGACAACUGGUCAACAAACAACAUUAAAAUGACCACACAAACUAACAAUG